rnacentral:misc_RNA from 1 species
GCAUCACCCACACCCUUGUGAUCAGUGAAUGGGCAGGAAAGAGUCGCCCAGCCUAGCUGUUGUAUACCAGAAGUUUCAAGAGUUACUUCAUACAUCCAUUUCCCUUUCCAGACACAAGCAUUGGCCCUAGCACUGCUGAAUAGAGAAUGACUCUCCAUGAUCAAAGGCUGUUUGACUAUUCGAAUAUCACCACAGAUGCUUGAUUCCUCUAAUUGAAUAAACUGAUGUUUACAACCAUCACCACCAGCAGUCAAAACCCCUUCUCGUUUUCUGUCUGUAACAGUCUUCUGAUUUAUGUGGUACUUCAGAAAUUCGUUCUUUAUAACUAAGCGAACCACUUCAGUAUUUAUUGAACAAGAGAGUGACUUAAUACACUUGUAUGGAAGAUCAAAGAUGUGCUCAAGGGUUCUUUCCACAGAUUGAUCGCCAAAACCAUCACAAUAUGAAACAAGAUGAGUUUUCUGAGAACUCUCCUUCCUAUCUUCACCAUUCAAUACCACAGCCAACCCAGAAGAAAGGCCACCUAUCCCUAUACGUAGGCCGUCUUCUGCCAUUAGCAACAAUAGCACUCCAAGAACAAUCAAUCUUCACUCACCCAAAUCUCAGAACAGCAUCCAACGUCUCCCGUCAAAACCAAGACGCAAAGUUAUCAAUCAUUCAACUGU